AUGCUGUGAUGACUCAAUAUAACACAUCAUGCUGACAAACACCGUGGUGAAGCAUAAGCUCUGAGCAUA